GACGAACGCUGGCGGCGUGCUUAACACACGCAAGUCGAGCGGUAAGGCCUUUCGGGGUACACGAGCGGCGAACGGGUGAGUAACACGUGGGUGAUCUGCCCUGCACUUCGGGAUAAGCCUGGGAAACUGGGUCUAAUACCGGAUAUGACCUCCUAUCGCAUGGUGGGUGGGGGAAAGAUUUAUCGGUGCAGGAUGGGCCCGCGGCCUAUCAGCUUGUUGGUGGGGUAAUGGCCUACCAAGGCGACGACGGGUAGCCGACCUGAGAGGGUGACCGGCCACACUGGGACUGAGACACGGCCCAGACUCCUACGGGAGGCAGCAGUGGGGAAUAUUGCACAAUGGGCGAAAGCCUGAUGCAGCGACGCCGCGUGAGGGAUGACGGCCUUCGGGUUGUAAACCUCUUUCAGCAGGGACGAAGCGCAAGUGACGGUACCUGCAGAAGAAGCACCGGCUAACUACGUG
rnacentral:rRNA from 1 species